GGCUUAACACAUGCAAGUCGAGCGGAAACGAUGAUAGCUUGCUAUCAGGCGUCGAGCGGCGGACGGGUGAGUAAUACUUAGGAAUCUACCUAGUAGUGGGGGAUAGCUCGGGGAAACUCGAAUUAAUACCGCAUACGUCCUACGGGAGAAAGCAGGGGAUCUUUGGACCUUGCGCUAUUAGAUGAGCCUAAGUCGGAUUAGCUAGAUGGUGGGGUAAAGGCCUACCAUGGCGACGAUCUGUAGCUGGUCUGAGAGGAUGAUCAGCCACACCGGGACUGAGACACGGCCCGGACUCCUACGGGAGGCAGCAGUGGGGAAUAUUGGACAAUGGGGGGAACCCUGAUCCAGCCAUGCCGCGUGUGUGAAGAAGGCCUUUUGGUUGUAAAGCACUUUAAGCAGUGAAGAAGACUCUUCGGUUAAUACCCGGGGACGAUGACAUUAGCUGCAGAAUAAGCACCGGCUAACUCUGUGCCAGCAGCCGCGGUAAUACAGAGGGUGCAAGCGUUAAUCGGAAUUACUGGGCGUAAAGCGAGCGUAGGUGGCUUGAUAAGUCAGAUGUGAAAUCCCCGGGCUUAACCUGGGAACUGCAUCUGAAACUGUUAGGCUAGAGUAGGUGAGAGGGAAGUAGAAUUUCAGGUGUAGCGGUGAAAUGCGUAGAGAUCUGAAGGAAUACCGAUGGCGAAGGCAGCUCCUGGCAUCAUACUGACACUGAGGCUCGAAAGCGUGGGUAGCAAACAGGAUUAGAUACCCUGGUAGUCCACGCCGUAAACGAUGUCUACUAGUCGUUGGUUCCCUUGAGGACUUAGUGACGCAG
rnacentral:rRNA from 1 species